GCCAGCCCUUCAGGUUCCUUCCUGCCUGUACACCGCCAUCUCAGCCUCGGUCGUGGUGGGCCAGUCUGCAGGCCACCCCCUUCCAUUCCUGUCGUGGGGCCCACACCAGCAACUUCACAGACUCCUGUUCCCUGUGCAGCUGACAUCUCUGCCGCCCACACCCACACCCUGCGGUCUGUGCUGCCAACGGCAUCUCCUCCGCGACUCUAAGCUCGGCGGCUGCCAUCUUCCCCGUGGACAUCACUGCAGGCCCAUCACCGUCUGGCACAGUCUCUCCUGCCAUGUCUGCCACAGAGGAGCACGACUGGAUGCCAGUUCCGGUCCCAAAGUCUGUAUUAUACUUCACGAAAGAAGCGAGUGAUUAUCAGUAUGAAGAGUCUGAUGAAGAGGUCCAAGAAGCUGAAGGUGAGGAGGAGGACAGCGAUAAAAAACCAGAAGAAGGACCUGGAAAGGACCUGGACCCAGCAGAGGACAGCCCCGGAGAACCCAGUUUUGCCAAGGCUAUAUUUAUGGCCCUGGAUGUGAUCUAUCCUGGAGAAUGUUCCAUGUACACUUGAGAAAAAGCUGUCAAGCAUAGAAAGACAUGAUGGAGGAAGAAACAAUGGACGUGUCCCUCACGAAUGAGAUUUUCGGCUUCUCAGUAGCCAGUGGGAAUUUUAUCAACACUGGUUUUGUUCCAGAUUUCAUCAUGUGAAAUGUCUUAUCCACUGACAUCUGACUUUUUUUCUUACAUUUGUCAGAUAUAUUUGACUGCGUUUGUUCAUGAUAAAAAUAAAAAUUUGCUAGCCAUGGAUAAGCCGCAGAUUUUUCUGAUGUGUAACACUGAUGCAAAUCUUGUAUCUUUUUGUUUUUG
ensembl:lncRNA